CCUACGGGAGUCAGCAGUGGGGAAUAUUGCACCAUGGGGGGAACCCUGAUGCAGCGACGCCGCGUGGGUGAGGAAGUACUUCGGUCUGUACAGCCCUAUCAGCAGGAAAGAAAAUGACGGUACCUGACUAAGAAGCCCCGGCUAACUACGUGCCAGCAGCCGCGGUCAUACGUAGGGGGCCAGCGUUAUCCGGAUUUCCUGGGUGUAAAGGGAGCGUAGACGGCGUGGCAAGUCUGAGGUGAAAGGCCGGGGCCCAACCCCGGGACCGCAGUGGAAACUGGCAUGCUGGAGUGCCGGAGGGGUAAGCGGAAUUCCUAGUGUAGCGGUGAAAUGCGUAGAUAUUAGGAGGAACACCGGUGGCGAAGGCGGCUUGCUGGACGGUAACUGACGUUGAGGCUCGAAAGCGUGGGGAGCAAACAGGAUUAGAUACCCGGGUAGUC
rnacentral:rRNA from 1 species